rnacentral:rRNA from 1 species
GACGAACGCUGGCGGCGUGCUUAACACAUGCAAGUCGAACGGAAAGGCCCUGCUUUUGUGGGGUGCUCGAGUGGCGAACGGGUGAGUAACACGUGAGUAACCUGCCCUUGACUUUGGGAUAACUUCAGGAAACUGGGGCUAAUACCGGAUAGGAGCUCCUGCUGCAUGGUGGGGGUUGGAAAGUUUCGGCGGUUGGGGAUGGACUCGCGGCUUAUCAGCUUGUUGGUGGGGUAGUGGCUUACCAAGGCUUUGACGGGUAGCCGGCCUGAGAGGGUGACCGGCCACAUUGGGACUGAGAUACGGCCCAGACUCCUACGGGAGGCAGCAGUGGGGAAUAUUGCACAAUGGGCGGAAGCCUGAUGCAGCAACGCCGCGUGCGGGAUGACGGCCUUCGGGUUGUAAACCGCUUUCGCCUGUGACGAAGCGUGAGUGACGGUAAUGGGUAAAGAAGCACCGGCUAACUACGUGCCAGCAGCCGCGGUGAUACGUAGGGUGCGAGCGUUGUCCGGAUUUAUUGGGCGUAAAGGGCUCGUAGGUGGUUGAUCGCGUCGGAAGUGUAAUCUUGGGGCUUAACCCUGAGCGUGCUUUCGAUACGGGUUGACUUGAGGAAGGUAGGGGAGAAUGGAAUUCCUGGUGGAGCGGUGGAAUGCGCAGAUAUCAGGAGGAACACCAGUGGCGAAGGCGGUUCUCUGGGCCUUUCCUGACGCUGAGGAGCGAAAGCGUGG